rnacentral:rRNA from 1 species
GUGCCAGCCGCCGCGGUAAUACGAAGGGUGCAAACGUUGCUCGGAAUCAUUGGGCGUAAAGCGCACGUAGGCGGCUUCGCAAGUCGGAUGUGAAAUCCCUCGGCUCAACCGAGGACGUGCAUACGAAACUGCGGAGCUUGAGUGCUGAAGAGGAUCGCGGAAUUCCCAGUGUAGAGGUGAAAUUCGUAGAUAUCGGGAGGAACACCAGUGGCGAAGGCGGCGAUCUGGGCAGACACUGACGCUGAGGUGCGAAAGCGUGGGGAGCAAACAGGAUUAGAUACCCCAGUAGUCC